AGAGUUUGAUCAUGGCUCAGAUUGAACGCUGGCGGCAGGCCUAACACAUGCAAGUCGAGCGGUAGCACAGAGAGCUUGCUCUCGGGUGACGAGCGGCGGACGGGUGAGUAAUGUCUGGGAAACUGCCUGAUGGAGGGGGAUAACUACUGGAAACGGUAGCUAAUACCGCAUAAUGUCGCAAGACCAAAGUGGGGGACCUUCGGGCCUCAUGCCAUCAGAUGUGCCCAGAUGGGAUUAGCUAGUAGGUGGGGUAACGGCUCACCUAGGCGACGAUCCCUAGCUGGUCUGAGAGGAUGACCAGCCACACUGGAACUGAGACACGGUCCAGACUCCUACGGGAGGCAGCAGUGGGGAAUAUUGCACAAUGGGCGCAAGCCUGAUGCAGCCAUGCCGCGUGUGUGAAGAAGGCCUUCGGGUUGUAAAGCACUUUCAGCGGGGAGGAAGGCGGUGAGGUUAAUAACCUCACCGAUUGACGUUACCCGCAGAAGAAGCACCGGCUAACUCCGUGCCAGCAGCCGCGGUAAUACGGAGGGUGCAAGCGUUAAUCGGAAUUACUGGGCGUAAAGCGCACGCAGGCGGUCUGUCAAGUCGGAUGUGAAAUCCCCGGGCUCAACCUGGGAACUGCAUUCGAAACUGGCAGGCUAGAGUCUUGUAGAGGGGGGUAGAAUUCCAGGUGUAGCGGUGAAAUGCGUAGAGAUCUGGAGGAAUACCGGUGGCGAAGGCGGCCCCCUGGACAAAGACUGACGCUCAGGUGCGAAAGCGUGGGGAGCAAACAGGAUUAGAUACCCUGGUAGUCCACGCCGUAAACGAUGUCGAUUUGGAGGUUGUGCCCUUGAGGCGUGGCUUCCGGAGCUAACGCGUUAAAUCGACCGCCUGGGGAGUACGGCCGCAAGGUUAAAACUCAAAUGAAUUGACGGGGGCCCGCACAAGCGGUGGAGCAUGUGGUUUAAUUCGAUGCAACGCGAAGAACCUUACCUGGUCUUGACAUCCACAGAACUUUCCAGAGAUGGAUNGGUGCCUUCGGGAACUGUGAGACAGGUGCUGCAUGGCUGUCGUCAGCUCGUGUUGUGAAAUGUUGGGUUAAGUCCCGCAACGAGCGCAACCCUUAUCCUUUGUUGCCAGCGGUCCGGCCGGGAACUCAAAGGAGACUGCCAGUGAUAAACUGGAGGAAGGUGGGGAUGACGUCAAGUCAUCAUGGCCCUUACGACCAGGGCUACACACGUGCUACAAUGGCAUAUACAAAGAGAAGCGACCUCGCGAGAGCAAGCGGACCUCAUAAAGUAUGUCGUAGUCCGGAUUGGAGUCUGCAACUCGACUCCAUGAAGUCGGAAUCGCUAGUAAUCGUAGAUCAGAAUGCUACGGUGAAUACGUUCCCGGGCCUUGUACACACCGCCCGUCACACCAUGGGAGUGGGUUGCAAAAGAAGUAGGUAGCUUAACCUUCGGGAGGGCGCUUACCACUUUGUGAUUCAUGACUGGGGUGAAGUCGUAACAAGGUAACCGUAGGGGAACCUGCGGUUG
rnacentral:rRNA from 1 species